AACGCUAGCGGCAGGCUUAACACAUGCAAGUCGAGGGCAGCGUGGAGCAGCAAUGCUCUGACGGCGACCGGCGGAAGGGUGCGUAACACGUGAGCGACUUGCCCGUCACAGGGGGAUAACCGGCGGAAACGGCGACUAAUACCCCAUAUGAUGCGAUGCUGCAUGGCAUUGCAUUGAAAGAUUCAUCGGUGGCGGAUAGGCUCGCGGGACAUUAGCUAGACGGCGGGGCAACGGCCCACCGUGGCGACGAUGUCUAGGGGUUCUGAGAGGAAGGCCCCCCACACUGGGACUGAGACACGGCCCAGACUCCUACGGGAGGCAGCAGUGAGGAAUAUUGGUCAAUGGGCGGAAGCCUGAACCAGCCAUGCCGCGUGAAGGACUAAGGCCCUACGGGUCGUAAACUUCUUUAGACGCAGAGCAAUAAGGUCCACGCGUGGACCGAUGAGAGUAUGCGUAGAAUAAGCAUCGGCUAACUCCGUG
rnacentral:rRNA from 1 species